CUAAUAACGUUUAGUAAGUUGAUUGCGAAAGGCCACGAUUAUAAGCACAAGUUUAUUUGGAACAGUACCUAUUAGAAUGUAUUAUAAUAAAUCUAUGUUCUAUGUUGGUUCACAAAAUAGGAGUGUUAAAAAAAAGACAUCUACAGGUUAUGGAGUAAUUAGAAGAGAGGACAUUGAAGAAAAGAAGAAAGAAUUCAAAAUUGGAGAAAGAAAACAGGACCUGAAAAAUAACUCCAUUAUUUUUAAUUCUUAGGGAUGGAGGAGUUACAACUAGAAAAAUCCAGAUUACUUUAAAAAUUAAAACAUAAAAAGGAUUACAUUGCAAAAAUACUUACCCAGCAUUUAUUUCAAAAUAAAUAGGAAUAGUAAAU